GCCUGGGAUAGCUCACUUCGUAGAGCAUGAGACUCGUCAUCUCAGAAUGGUGGGUUCAAGCUCCACAUUGGGCA